CCUACGGGUGGCUGCAGUGAGGAAUAUUGGUCAAUGGGCGCAAGCCUGAACCAGCCAAGUCGCGUGAGGGAAGACGGCCCUACGGGUUGUAAACCUCUUUUGCCGGGGAGCAAGCCUGAGCACGUGUGCCCAGGCGUAUAGUACCCGGAGACAAAGCAUCGGCUAAAUCCGUGCCAGCAGCCGCGGUAAUACGGAGGAUGCGAGCGUUAUCCGGAUUUAUUGGGUUUAAAGGUUGCGCGUGCGGGCUGUUAAGCCGGCGGUAAAAAUUCUGGGCGCAACCCUGUCGAGCCGUCGGAACUGGCAGUCUUGAGUGGGCGAGAAGUAUGCGGAAUGCGUGGUGUAGCGGGGAAAUGCAUAGACAUCACGCAGAACGCCGAUUGCGAAGGCAGCAUACCGGCGCCCAACUGACGCUGAGGCACGAAAGCGUGGGGAUCGAACAGGAUUAGAUACCCUAGUAGUC
rnacentral:rRNA from 1 species